UCCACCCAGGGGCGGCGGAGCUUUUGUAUCGUUGAAUGCAACUUUAUAAGCAUUUUUUUCUCUUCUCAUUUUCUGUCAAAAUAUUAUUCUUAAUUGAAAUAAUAUAAUUUAGAAUAAUAUUUUCAAUUUCACUAUAUAUAUUUCAAUUCCUUAAUCUCGGUUCACAGUUCAUCCAGCACGUAAUUUCAUUGAGAAAGAUCAAGAAAUGGAGAAGAACAGUAGCUUUUGCUUUGCAAAUUUAUCUUCAAAUCUUCCGAUCACUUGUUUGAUCACUUUCAUCACCAUUUUCCUACACCGAGUUCUUAACGUCAUUUACCGAACCGGCAAGCCACUAGGCAAAAGAGUUUCUCCGCAGCGGCCUCUCAGCACUCUCAUUGUUUUAGGUUCAGGAGGUCAUACAGCGGAGAUGAUUAAUCUCUUGUUAGUUUUGCGAAAGGAAAGGUUUACACCGAGGUUCUAUAUCGCCGCUGCUACUGAUAAUAUGAGUCUUCAAAAAGCUCGUGUAUUGGAGAAUUCUUUGGCUGAUUCGAGUGAGACCAAGGGACUCUCUGCAGAAUUUAUGGAGAUCUAUAGAAGCAGGGAAGUUGGUCAAUCAUAUGUAACUUCUGUUUGGACAACUUUAGUUGCCAUGGCUCAUGCAUUGUGGCUGAUGAUUAAAAUCAGACCUCAAGUGGUUCUUUGCAAUGGCCCUGGUACUUGUAUUCCUCUAUGUGUAAUUGCAUUCUUUUUCAAGGUGGUUGGAAUUCGAUGGUCAUCCAUUUUUUAUGUUGAGAGCAUUGCAAGAGUAAAAAGACUCUCUUUAAGUGGUUUGUUGCUUUACAAGUUAAGGAUUGCUGAUCAGUUCUUUGUGCAAUGGCCGCAACUGCAGAGAAAAUACCCUCGGACUCAUUAUGUAGGUUGCCUGAUGUAGAUAAUUAAGUCAGCUGCUGAUGGGUACUCUCACUUAACUUCUUAGAUUAUUUUCUUAUUAUCAUAUUCUACUAUAUAAAGUUUCUUUCCCUCCACUAAGAUUUUUGUAUUUUUGUGUUGAGUUGGGUUCAUUACUACAACAUGAUUUAAUGUAGACUCUGAUAUUUGGCAAAAAGAACAAUAGGAUGUUAUAUAAAUCAGCUCAAAAUUUCAGUAGUAACAUUACAAUUGAUCUUUUAACAAAGACCAUAUAUAUUAAGAGACUUCCAGCUUAUUAUUUCACAGCCUGAAUGUGAAGUCUUUAGGAAUAAGUUUUUUAGGCAUGCAGGUCCUAGGGUCUAUACCCGGGUGUAAAUAAGGCCUAAUUUAACUCUGUUAUUUUAUUAUUUAUUAUGUAUUUGUAUUUACAUUAUUGUCCCUAGCAUUUGAGGAUGGUUUUUGACUUUUUGUGUGUUAUUUGUAUUUAAAUUAUUGUCCCUAGUAGUUAAUGACAGUUAUUGUGUGAUAUUUGUAUUAAAGAAAGGUUUACUAUUUGAUGUAUUAACAGUGUAUAUAAUUCUACACCAUCAAUGAACCAGAUGAUACUGCAUCAUUAGAAAUGAAAUUAAUUGAUUCUAGUUCAUUGAUAGUGUAUACAAUAUUAGUGCAUCAAAUAUAAAUCCUUAAAAAUAAGUGAAGACAGGGGUGGCCUGAUGGUUUGUAGGAAAGGUCCUAGGUACCUUGGGAGUCACUGUAUUUCCAGUAUUGUUAAUGCGCUUUAAGAUUUACAAAAUCUGUUGAUGGCAAUAAAGAUUAUUAGAUUGUGUUCAGUGUUCUGUUUGGUUUUUGUGUUUGAAGGGUUCAUGUGAUAAAGUUAGGAAAGAGUUUCUGGUUUCCUAACAAAGUUCUGGAUCAACUUCUGUUUCUGUGAUUUUGUAAAGUAGAUUAGUUAAUAUGAUUAAAUUCCUACAUAGCUUGGUCCAAAUUUCCUAUCCUUUUUCUACUAUUUUUGCCUCUAACUUUAUAUCAUUUUUUGGAUGAGAGCAAGCAACAUUGCAUUAUUUGUUUAGGUUCUUGAGCUAUCUUGGAGAUUUGGCUUGAAUAAUCAUAUAUAUUUUUUAAGCUUGGAUUGAACAUUGAGAAUUCUUACGUAUAUGUCACAAACCAGCCAGCAAGGAACUAGUGUGUAUGACUCACUGAAGUUUGACUCAUUUCCAAGCAUUCUCUCUCUAGUUUGUGAUAUAGUACCUAUAUUCAGGGCGAAUGCACCAGUUUCUAAGAUUUAAAAUAAACCUGAUAAAGAGCCUUGACUUGGCUUAUUAACUAUGAGCUUCAAUGAACCCUAUUGACAUGUUGAUCAUUAAUGGCUGUUCAUUUAGCCGAACAUAAACAUGUUUCUUUCUUUCUUUUUUGCACAUCAGUAAUGGGUUGAUUCUUAGAUUCAUUUGUCUAAUCUUCCCUGUUGUUUUUGAACACACCAUUGUUUUAUGGCAUCUUUCUUUUCUCUGUUUUUACUCCCUCCUGCUUUUGCUUUUAUACACACUGUUACAGAAUGGGGCUAGUGGAAACCAAUUAGAUAAUUAUUUUCUUCUCCUAUACCAACUAGCAUGGUCUAGCUUGGUGCUUUAGUUAAGCUGUAUCACUAGCCAUUUCGGAUGAAGUUAUAUCCAAAACAGAGAAUACGUGGGCAUUACUGAAUUGUAUUUAGUUUGCUAGAGCUAUUUUAGAGUUUGGUUAUCUAUGACUCUGCAUUGAGAAGGAUGAAGAAAGAUUACUUUUGGGGUUGUAUUUCUUGUUUUGCAGAAAAUGACAAUCUCAUAUAGAACUGUGGAAGCCAUACUUAAUCUGUUAACUAGCCUCUUCGAGUAAAGGACUCUUCGAAACUUCACUACCGUUUCGAUAUUCAUUCUUAGAGCUUUGAUUGUCAAGAUAACACUGGUAAACAUAUGAAACAAAGCCCCAUAUCGCCAAGACCAUGGCAAUUGCCUUCACUGCAUCCAUUUUGUCAUGGAAAAAGAUCACAGCUAGAAUUGGAAUAACAGGCAAACCCAAGACACUUAUGGCAUUGGAGAAGAGCGAAGAAACUUUGAAAAUCAAUCCCAUUGCGCCGAUGACAAAAAGCUGUGAAGCUAUAGCUGUUUCAAUCAGGGUCAUUGCAUAGGAAAACUUACCGAGUUCAAACUCUUCUACUUCUAUUGACAAACCUUUCCAUUCUCCGCUGAUGAAAAGUCCCAGAAUGGCAGCAGAAGUCGCAACUAGUGACUGAUAUAUAACCAUUUCGAACACCUUUGCGUGUGUUUCUCCUUUUAGAAGCUUUCUGAAGGAAGAAUGAGAAGAGAGCAUUGAAGGCCAAUUGGGAUGCACAAAUGAGGGAAAAAGUCGAUACCGGAAGGUGUAAGAGUCCAAUAGAAUACAUCAAGCUGUAUGCCACUAGGCAAAUACCGAAAGAGAAAUAGACCAAUGCCAGUAUGACCGCUGAUGGCUGCCGUAUCUGCUCAUUUUUGGUGCAACUUUUUGGUGGUGCUAAGCAGUAACAUAGUAUGACAAUUGGGAAGCCUGCGAGUUGUGCGAGUGUAGCAACCCAUACGCUCUUCCCGCCUUUGUCAUAGUAUAGGCGCCCCAAGAGUGUUGAUGCCGACUGACCGAAGAUUACAAAGAAUGCAUACAUGAUGAUGUUGAUCCACCACUUAUAGUUCCUUGGUUCAUGGCUUGCCAGUUUCUUGCUAUUCUGAUAUUGAGGUGAGUUUUCUUCCUUUACUUCUUGAACUGUUAGAAAAACAUUUGAAUAAUUGUCAAAUGGGUUUCUUUAUCUGUUAUAUUUUGCAAACCUAAAAUGUCUGCUUUUUCUCUAUGUCGUUUCGACUCAUCAUUUUUCUUGAAGAAUUAAUAUCUAACAUUCAUUCCGACAUUGCAAACCUAAAUGCAUGAAUAUAACAUGAAAAAAAUAAUAAAAGCAUAAUACGACAUGACAACAAAACAAAUCUAUAAUAUGUAUAAAAACAUAAAUGUAAAUAAUCUUUUGAACUGAUGAAAAUUAUUUUUAUUGCUUAUUGUUUACUAAAUCGAUAUCAGGAUAAAAUUUUAAUAUCAUUAAAAUUUAAUAUAGGUUCAAUUAUGCUUGGUAUAUAUGUUAAAUUAUACUUUCAAUGUAAUUUAAAAUUAUUCAAUGUUGAAUUAAAAUUUUGAUGGGUAUUUUAAAUAUAUACUAUAAAAUUAAAAUUUAUUACUAUAAAAUAGAUGCAUUGCAUUUGGGCAUUUUCAUUCAAGUGGUAGCUUAAAAAAUCACUAAAAUGGUUUGGCUUUCAUUAUUUUUAUUCUAUUGUUUGAAAAUUUUUCAUUCUAUAAUAUUUUAAUUAUCAAAAUAAUUUAUAAAUUUUGAUCAUUUUGGCAAUUUGAAUGAAGUAAAAAUAUAUCAUUUAAUGAAAUAAAAAUUAAGAAUGUAAAAUCACAUGCUAACAUGUAUGAUAUUAAAACUUAUAUAACACAUGAAUUUGCCAAUAUCUAUAUAAAACAAACUAUUAAUAUAUUGAAAAGAAUUAUAUAAACAUUACUACUUUAAAUGCUAAUAUUAUAUGAAAAAUAAUAUCAAUUGUCAGAUUUGUUAGAAACAAAAGCCUAGAUAUGCAAAUUAAACAUAUAACUUCAUCAUUGUAAUGAGUAAGAAAAUUAUUUUGAUAACACUUUUAAAAUAAAACAUCAUAACGCUUAAAAAGUAAAAUUAAGUUGUAAAAAGCAAAGUGAUAAUCAGAUAAUAAUUCUAAUUAAUCAUGUUGCAUUAUUUCUUGGCAUCUCUCUACAUCCAUAAAAGGAAAAAAUAAAGAAACAAAAAGCCGUAAAAAUGAUCAAUUCCUUCUAAACUCUAUAAUAUUAAGGCUUAACUACAAAUUGGUCCCUAAACCAUAUCAUUUUUUCCACUUAGGUACUUAAGGCCUUUUUUAGUCUAAAGUGGUACCUAAACCAUCAAUUUUGUUUCAUUCUAUCCCACAUACGAAGUCAAAGAACAUGCCACAUGCCAUGUUCUUAUUGGCUGGUAUAAUGUUUUGGGUAAAAUGAGACGUUCAUUUUUUUUACUAUAACGAGAUUCAUAGUUUAGGUACCACUUUUGAUGAUAAAGAACUUUUAGGUUACUAACUGAGAAAAGUGGUAAAGUGGUAUAAUUUGAGGUUUAAUUUUAUAUUUAAGUCUAAUAUUAAUUGUAAAAUGAAUCAAAUAGGCAAAAAAAAAUGUUAUGUUCAAAAUUCAAUCCAUUUUUCAAUCAGAUCUUAUUUUUUGUUUAAGCCUUUCUCUAAGCCUAAUAAAUUGUUAAUCUUCUCAAAUAUCGGACAAUUUUUUAGCAUAGGCAAAAAAAUCCGACCCUCAAAAAGCUGUAGUGCUGUUAGAGACAUAUUUGAUUGGCCGAUUGAAACAGAAAAUAGUAGUUUGACCGGUGUCAUAUGAUCGAAUAGGGAGAAUCAUUGUGAGCCAGUAAAAAUUGGAAAGUGAAAUAAAAAAACCGGUCUGAUUCUUACAACAUUGCUUCUAGAGGUAGAGAUUGUUGCUUUGACUUUGAAACCUAAAACAUAGUGAUAGAGCAUAGAGAUUAAACAAGAGAGUUGGCUUGAUUGCUAUCUUUCUGUAAAUAACAACAGAAAUAUAGAGAACUCUAAAAUCCAUUUUGUAGUUUGCUUCUCUGAUAUUCAUGUGUGCUUUUUCUAUGUUGGUCCCUUUAUUUAUAUUUGGUAUUUGUGUUCGACUUAUAUGACAUGAGAAUAUGAUCCCAUAAAAUAUACUAGAAGAACUUUUAUAUAAGAUACGUACCCGUAUUUGAUAUAUGAAUUUGAGUAAACAUAGGAGUCUACUUACCAAUGAUGUGGAGUUGAACUUCUUGAGUUUUUCCCAUAUUCAAAACAUGAAGAGGUUCGAAAAAGCAGCCCCCGGUUAGAGAAGGAGAGAAAAGAGGAGAUAGUUUAACAAAAUAGGGAUGUAUGUAUGUAUGUAAAGUAUAGCAGCUAAUUGUGAAUGGCAAUUUAAGUAUCCAACGGAAGAAAAAGAAAGGUAUCCAGUUCCAUCCAUAUGAAGCAUGAGGACGAUGACGACCGCAUCUUGUUUCUUUCUUUUUUGUCUUGUCGUCUUUAUUGUUUGUGAUUGAGUAUGUGUUCAAUACAUGCAUGUUCAAAAUUCAUUACAUAUUUUUCGAUUUAUUUGAAGGGUUAUAUUUCUUCACUCA